rnacentral:rRNA from 1 species
UACCAGCACCCCGAGUGGUCGGGGCGAUUAUUGGGCCUAAAGCAUCCGUAGCCGGUUUUACAAGUCCUCCGUUAAAUCCAGCUGCUUAACAGAUGGGCCGCGGAGGAUACUAUAAGACUAGGAGGCAGGAGAGGCAAGCGGUACUCAGUGGGUAGGGGUAAAAUCCGUUGAUCCAUUGAAGACCACCAGUGGCGAAGGCGGCUUGCCAGAAUGCGCUCGACGGUGAGGGAUGAAAGCUGGGGGAGCAAACCGG